rnacentral:rRNA from 1 species
UACGUAGGGGGCAAGCGUUGUCCGGAAUCAUUGGGCGUAAAGCGCGUGUAGGCGGCUCGAUAAGUCUGCUGUGAAAGUCCAGGGCUCAACCCUGGGAUGCCGGUGGAUACUGUCGAGCUCGAGUCCGGAAGAGGCGAGUGGAAUUCCUGGUGUAGCGGUGAAAUGCGCAGAUAUCAGGAGGAACACCAAUGGCGAAGGCAGCUCGCUGGGACGUGAACUGACGCUGGAGACGGCGAAAGCGUGGGGAGCAAACAGG